GAUGAACGCUGGCGGCGUGCCUAAUACAUGCAAGUCGAGCGAACAGACGAGGAGCUUGCUUCUCUGAUGUUAGCGGCGGACGGGUGAGUAACACGUGGAUAACCUACCUAUAAGACUGGGAUAACUUCGGGAAACCGGAGCUAAUACCGGAUAAUAUUUUGAACCGCAUGGUUCAAAAGUGAAAGACGGUUUUGCUGUCACUUAUAGAUGGAUCCGCGCUGCAUUAGCUAGUUGGUAAGGUAACGGCUUACCAAGGCAACGAUGCGUAGCCGACCUGAGAGGGUGAUCGGCCACACUGGAACUGAGACACGGUCCAGACUCCUACGGGAGGCAGCAGUAGGGAAUCUUCCGCAAUGGGCGAAAGCUUGACGGAGCAACGCCGCGUGAGUGAUGAAGGUCUUCGGAUCGUAAAACUCUGUUAUUAGGGAAGAACAAAUGUGUAAGUAACUGUGCACGUCUUGACGGUACCUAAUCAGAAAGCCACGGCUAACUACGUG
rnacentral:rRNA from 1 species